rnacentral:lncRNA from 1 species
ACUCAACUGAUUCCAAUAUCACCUAGAAGAAGAUUCCCGUCAUUCGCAAUGAUAAGAUCUUAGCUGCAAUGACAAUAUAGAAUAGGACUCUUGAGAGGUUUAAAGACUGCCAGCUUAAGAUACACAGAUCAACCCGGACCCCAGUCAAAGAAGAAGCCAAGUUUGAGAUUUGGAAGUCUCUAAGAAGAUAGCAAGACAUUAAGAACAGGAGUAGGGAGGUCAUGGAGGCUAUAUACCCUAUGCUCCAGGCAUUUAUCAAUUCCAUCUCUACCAAAGUCAUCUCAGAAACCUUCACUGUCUUGAAUAACUAGCAGUUCUCUGAUUCGGGUCAACUUUAUCCAUAACCUCGUCUUUAACCUGAGUCAUUCACAGCAGGUUCAUGGACAAUGCCCAUGUUCAAUGACCCAAUACUCCUACUGCAAUAUUCGAUGGCCUUUGGGUUCAAAAUAGUCAACGUGUCAGAUAGUCCCAUGCAAAAAUUGAUGGCCAAAGUAGUUAAUGAGAAUGCCGAGGACUUCAUUUCAAAUGAUCUACCUUAACUUCAUAAUGCAGAAGUCGUUUCUUGCAAGGACCAAUUGCCAUCAAUUGCCCAUCAGUAUCCCAACCGAGGUGGUGUGCUACUACGUUGAUGUGCUUGCACUAGUCGACAUAAAACCCCCAUAAGAUAAACGUCUGAGUUCCCCUCUGAAAUAUUCAAGCUGAACGGUGCACCUUUUGAUACCAGCAACUAUGUUGCUCAUGGGGGCUGCUUCAUUGAGCCAGAUAGA